rnacentral:sRNA from 1 species
UAAUGUUCGGUUAAGUGCUUCUAAUGCACGU